rnacentral:tRNA from 3 species
CAUUAGGAAGCUAUGCAUCAGCACUAGCCUUUUAAGCUAGAAAUAGAGGACUACCAAACCUCCCUAAUGA